rnacentral:rRNA from 1 species
UACGAAGGGGGCUAAGCGUUGCUCGGAAUUACUGGGCGUAAAGGGUGUGUAGGCGGAUACUUAAGUCGGGGGUGAAAGCCCCAGGCUCAACCCUGGAAUAGCCUUCGAUACUGGGUAUCUUGAGUUCGGGAGAGGUAAGUGGGAACUCCGAGUGUAGAGGUGAAAUUCGUAGAUAUUCGGAAGAACACCAGGUGGCGAAGGCGACUUACUGGCCCGAUACUGACGCUGAAACACGAAAGCGUGGGGAGCAAACAGGG